rnacentral:rRNA from 1 species
CACCGCGGUUACACGAAAGGCCCAAGUUGACAGCCAUCGGCGUAAAGCGUGGUUAGGGCCCUACCAAAAACUAAAGUCGAACUCCUUCAAGACCGUUUAACGUGUUCGAAACGGAGAAGCACAGCUACGAAAGUAACUUUAUAUACCUGACUCCACGAAAGCUAAGGUA